GGAGUUAGCCGGUGCUUCUUCUGCGAGUAACGUCACAGAUGUAAGGUAUUAACUUACACCCUUUCCUCCUCGCUGAAAGUGCUUUACAACCCGAAGGCCUUCUUCACACACGCGGCAUGGCUGCAUCAGGGUUUCCCCCAUUGUGCAAUAUUCCCCACUGCUGCCUCCCGUAGGAGUCUGGGCCGUGUCUCAGUCCCAGUGUGGCUGAUCAUCCUCUCAGACCAGCUAGGGAUCGUCGCCUAGGUGAGCCUUUACCUCACCUACUAGCUAAUCCCACCUGGGCUUAUCCAUCAGCGCAAGGCCCGAAGGUCCCCUGCUUUCCCCCGUAGGGAGUAUGCGGUAUUAGCAGUCGUUUCCAACUGUUAUCCCCCACAAAUGGGCAAAUUCCCAGGCAUUACUCACCCGUCCGCCGCUCGUCAUCUUCAAAAGCAAGCUUUUGAAAUGUUACCGCUCGACUUGCAUGUGUUAGGCCUGCCGCCAGCGUUCAAUCUGAGCCAGGAUCAAACUCUGA
rnacentral:rRNA from 1 species